AGCGAACGCUGGCGGCAGGCCUAACACAUGCAAGUCGAACGAACCUUUCGGGGUUAGUGGCGGACGGGUGAGUAACACGUGGGAACGUGCCUUUUGGUUCGGAAUAACUCAGGGAAACUUGUGCUAAUACCGAAUGUGCCCUUCGGGGGAAAGAUUAAUCGCCUUUAGAGCGGCCCGCGUCUGAUUAGCUAGUUGGUUGAGGUAAUGGCUCACCAAGGCGACGAUCAGUAGCUGGUCUGAGAGGAUGAUCAGCCACAUUGGGACUGAGACACGGCCCAAACUCCUACGGGAGGCAGCAGUGGGGAAUCUUGCGCAAUGGGCGAAAGCCUGACGCAGCCAUGCCGCGUGAAUGAUGAAGGUCUUAGGAUUGUAAAAUUCUUUCACCGGGGACGAUAAUGACGGUACCCGGAGAAGAAGCCCCGGCUAACUUCGUG
rnacentral:rRNA from 1 species